rnacentral:rRNA from 1 species
AGUGAACGCUGGCGGUAGGCCUAACACAUGCAAGUCGAACGGCAGCACAGGAGAGCUUGCUCUCUGGGUGGCGAGUGGCGGACGGGUGAGGAAUACAUCGGAAUCUACUUUUUCGUGGGGGAUAACGUAGGGAAACUUACGCUAAUACCGCAUACGACCUACGGGUGAAAGCAGGGGAUCUUCGGACCUUGCGCGAUUGAAUGAGCCGAUGUCGGAUUAGCUAGUUGGCGGGGUAAAGGCCCACCAAGGCGACGAUCCGUAGCUGGUCUGAGGGGAUGAUCAGCCACACUGGAACUGAGACACGGUCCAGACUCCUACGGGAGGCAGCAGUGGGGAAUAUUGGACAAUGGGCGCAAGCCUGAUCCAGCCAUACCGCGUGGGUGAAGAAGGCCUUCGGGUUGUAAAGCCCUUUUGUUGGGAAAGAAAUCCAGCUGGUUAAUACCCGGUUGGGAUGACGGUACCCAAAGAAUAAGCACCGGCUAACUUCGUGCCAGCAGCCGCAGUAA